GAUGAACGCUGGCGGCGUGCCUAAUACAUGCAAGUCGAGCGAACAGAUGAGGAGCUUGCUCCUCUGACGUUAGCGGCGGACGGGUGAGUAACACGUGGAUAACCUACCUAUAAGACUGGGAUAACUUCGGGAAACCGGAGCUAAUACCGGAUAAUAUAUUGAACCGCAUGGUUCAAUAGUGAAAGACGGUUUUGCUGUCACUUAUAGAUGGAUCCGCGCCGCAUUAGCUAGUUGGUAAGGUAACGGCUUACCAAGGCAACGAUGCGUAGCCGACCUGAGAGGGUGAUCGGCCACACGGGAAGGGAGACACGGUCGAGAAACAGACGGGAAGGAGCAGUAGGGGAGUUUGCGCAAUAGGCGAAAGCCUGACAAAGCAACGCCGCGUGAGAGAAGAAAGUGUUCGGAUCAUAAAACUCUGUUAGUAGGGAAGAACAAAUGAGGCAGUAACUAUGCACGUCUUGACGGUACCUAAUCAGAAAGCCACGGCUAACUACGUG
rnacentral:rRNA from 1 species